rnacentral:rRNA from 1 species
UACGUAGGGGGCAAGCGUUGUCCGGAAUCAUUGGGCGUAAAGAGCGUGUAGGCGGCUUGGCAAGUCUGGUGUGAAAUCUUGCGGCUCAACCGCAAGCGGUCACUGGAAACUGCCUCGCUAGAGUCCGGAAGAGGAGAGCGGAAUUCCUGGUGUAGCGGUGGAAUGCGCAGAUAUCAGGAAGAACACCCGUGGCGAAGGCGGCUCUCUGGGCCGGUACUGACACUGAGGAGCGAAAGCGUGGGUAGCAAACAGG